rnacentral:rRNA from 1 species
UACGGAGGGUGCAAGCGUUGCUCGGAAUUACUGGGCGUAAAGCGUACGCAGGCUGUCCGUCAAGUCGGGUGUGAAAGCCCGGGGCUCAACCCCGGAAUUGCGCCCGAAACUGGCGGGCUUGAGUGCGGGAGAGGGGACCGGAAUUCCUGGUGUAGAGGUGAAAUUCGUAGAUAUCUGGAGGAACACCGGUUGCGAAGGCGGCUUCCUGACCCGACACUGACGCUCAUGUACGAAAGCGUGGGGAGCAAACAGG